AUUGAACGCUGGCGGAAUGCUUUACACAUGCAAGUCGAACGGCAGCACGGACUUCGGUCUGGUGGCGAGUGGCGAACGGGUGAGUAAUGUAUCGGAACGUGCCCAGUCGUGGGGGAUAACGUAGUGAAAAUUACGCUAAUACCGCAUACGAUCUAUGGAUGAAAGCGGGGGAUCGCAAGACCUCGCGCGAUUGGAGCGGCCGAUAUCAGAUUAGGUAGUUGGUGGGGUAAAGGCUCACCAAGCCAACGAUCUGUAGCUGGUCUGAGAGGACGACCAGCCACACUGGGACUGAGACACGGCCCAGACUCCUACGGGAGGCAGCAGUGGGGAAUUUUGGACAAUGGGCGCAAGCCUGAUCCAGCCAUUCCGCGUGCAGGACGAAGGCCUUCGGGUUGUAAACUGCUUUUGUACGGAACGAAAAAGCCUUGGCUAAUACCCAGGGUCCAUGACGGUACCGUAAGAAUAAGCACCGGCUAACUACGUGCCAGCCGCCGCCGUAA
rnacentral:rRNA from 1 species